AUUGAACGCUGGCGGCAGGCCUAACACAUGCAAGUCGAGCGGAGCGGCGGACGGGUGAGUAAUGCCUAGGAAUCUGCCUGGUAGUGGGGGAUAACGUCCGGAAACGGGCGCUAAUACCGCAUACUAUCAGAUGAGCCUAGGUCGGAUUAGCUAGUUGGUGGGGUAAAGGCCUACCAAGGCGACGAUCCGUAACUGGUCUGAGAGGAUGAUCAGUCACAAGGGAACUGGGACACGGUCCAAACCCCUCCGGGGGGCAGCAGGGGGGAAUAUUGGACAAGGGGCGAAAGCCUAAUCCAGCCAUGCCGCGGGGGUGAAGAAGGUCUUCGGAUGGAAAAGCACUUUAAGUUGGAAGACGUUACCAACAGAAUAAGCACCGGCUAACUUCGUGCCAGCCGCCGGGUAAUAC
rnacentral:rRNA from 1 species